rnacentral:siRNA from 1 species
UAACUCUCUUCCACAACUUGACAC